CUACCAUGGCGAUCACGGGUAACGGAGAAUUAGGGUUCGAUUCCGGAGAGGGAGCCUGAGAAACGGCUACCACUUCUAUGGAAGGCAGCAGGCGCGUAAAUUACCCAAUCCUGACUAAGGGAGGUAGUGACAAGAAAUAUCGAAUCGGGUGUACAUACACUGCGAGUUUGAAAUGAGAAUAACCUAAAAAACUUAACGAGGAGCAAUUGGAGGGCAAGUCUGGUGCCAGCAGCCGCGGUAAUUCCAGCUCCGAUAGCGUAUAUUAAAGUUGUUGCAGUUAAAAAGCUCGUAGUUGAACUUCUAAAGAUCUACUUUUCGCCAUACGGUUUGAAAGGUUAACUUUAUCCGCUUUGAAUUAGCAAUACGCACUUUGUUGGGCGAUUGUGUAUUCAAGCAAUUUACUUUGAAAAAAUUAGAGUGUUUCACGCAGGCGCUUUGCUGGAAUACAUUAGCAUGGAAUAAUAGAACACGACCUCUUAGGCAUUUUAUUGGUACAUGACUGGAGGUAAUGAUUAACAGGGACAGUUGGGGGCAUUAGUAUUGCAUUGUCAGAGGUGAAAUUCAUUGAUUAG
rnacentral:rRNA from 1 species